GGUCACACUAUCAUUCAGAAACGAAGCCGAAUUGAGAGCACGCACGUCGCGCUGUGAUUUUCAGUGUGAUUUUUGCAUUUAAGAAGUCAGCCGAAAAACGAACGCGUGUGCUUGUCAGUUUCGACGAACUUGUGUCUGUGUUUGUGUAAACGACGUCCCAGCAGCACGCAAUAAGAACGAAAAAGCGAAAAGAAACAACGAGGACUACGUCAAAGUUGGAAAAAGCAGAAGUCGAAACAUUCACUGCAAAGGCAAAGCAUAAAAGAAAAGAAACUUGUAC